AUAGUCUCUUCUUUUUCUCUUCCAGACUUCCUGGUGGCGGCGUUGUCCAGACUGCGGUAGAGUGACAACCGGAAGCAGGCGGUGGCCUGGCCUCUCAGAUCUGGACUGGAAGCAAGCCGGCGGCUGAUCUGCGGCGGCGGCGGAUACCUUGAUGAGGCCGAGAUCAUCGAUGUUCUUAGAUUAUUAAACUUGGGAAAGAAAAUGACCCCAUCCUAAGAUCUACUCUCUCAUUUUCGCUCUCCUCAGUCGCCUCUUUCUCCUCGCUGUGAGUACAGAUCCGGACGCAACGGUCCGCAGCGGAGUAGCGGUGUUGAUCUUUCUUUCUUUUUUAAAAAAUUUUUCCUUUGAUUUUUUUUUUAUUUCUUGCUGUUGAGUUUUUUGUUGUUGCUACACAAAUCUUUUCUCUGCUAGUAGAUGCAAAUUAUCAGGUGACCAGUAGACGUCAUUUAUUUUAUUUUAAAAAUGAUGGGUAUCGGCGACACUUCUAGGUAAUUAAUGUCGCGAAUUCCCAUAGAAGAUAUCUCGACAUCAGUGCUAUUUGAACAACUAUUUAUAUCCCUUGUGAAUCCUCAUGAAUGAAAUCGUAGUUGUUCUUUUCUGAAAAUUUUCUUUCAUUUUCUUCCCUUGCUUGUUAAUCUUUGUUAUCAUUCAUGACUCUUAACGAUUCCAUAUCAUAAUUUUUGUAGAAUAUGUCUAUCUUCUACCUGCACUUCAUAUGACUUGUAAUAAUCCCAUCUUGGUUGCUAUCUUGACUCAUUGUAACCUGCAACAGGUAUUGUGCAUAAUUUAGAUAGUACUGCCAUUAUGCAGGUCAUUGCAAUUUAAACAAACUUUUAAAUCAUUAGGUGUUCUAUCUCUGUUUAUCUUUUCACACUUUCUGAUGUGGGGUUUAUAUGGGUUUUCCUUUUUUAAUUCUUUUUAAACUGGAGUUUAUCUUAAAGUGAUAAAUUACCAGACGUCUUGGACUCUAUGAUUUAAUUUCAUUCAUCAGUACUCUCUUGCUUGCUAAAUUCCCUUCAGGUGCCUGCUGAUGGAAUUGUAAUAUCUGCACACUCUCUUGCACUUGAUGAAUCAAGUAUGACUGGGGAAAGCAAGAUUGU